GACGAACGCUGGCGGCGUGCUUAACACAUGCAAGUCGAACGGAAAGGCCCUGCUUUUGUGGGGUGCUCGAGUGGCGAACGGGUGAGUAACACGUGAGUAACCUGCCCUUGACUUUGGGAUAACUUCAGGAAACUGGGGCUAAUACCGGAUAGGAGCUCCUGCUGCAUGGUGGGGGUUGGAAAGUUUCGGCGGUUGGGGAUGGACUCGCGGCUUAUCAGCUUGUUGGUGGGGUAGUGGCUUACCAAGGCUUUGACGGGUAGCCGGCCUGAGAGGGUGACCGGCCACAUUGGGACUGAGAUACGGCCCAGACUCCUACGGGAGGCAGCAGUGGGGAGUAUUGCACAAUGGGGGGGAGCCUGAUGCAGCAACGCCGCGUGCGGGAUGACGGCCUUCGGGUUGUAAACCGAUUUCGCCUGUGACGAAGCGUGAGUGACGGUAAUGGGUAAAGAAGCACCGGCUAACUACGUG
rnacentral:rRNA from 1 species